UCUUGGGAUAGCAUGGACCAAGAAGAAAUCUCUUUCUUUGUGCCCUAAAGGAUGAGUGCUAGUGCCUGGACCGCACUAGCCCAGGCUCCCUAGCUCUGAAAUUAGCUCCCACUGGAAACCUGGCUUCUGCAGGUUCUGCCUAUCAGUAGGUGUCUGUCUUUCCAUUGUAGCUGCAAAGCACCUAAGGCUAAUCUAGCAUCCUGCUCCACUCAUCUUUGUCCCCUUUCCAGCCAGGAGUGUUGAUGGGGGCACACUUCAGUAAUGCAGGGCUAUAGUGCUCCUAGGCCUAACCAGUCUGGCUUAUGUGGGUCAGGUCUGGAUAAGUCUUUGAUCUUUGGAAAAGGGGCCUUAUCCUGACUGACCCAUUCUACUUUUUGAUAUUCACGGAUGUCUGAUCAACACCUUCUCAGAAGAAAAUUAUUUGGAAGCUCACAACCCUGACUACAUCCCAGAGUUUCCUUGCUGAGAUAUGGAAGAUGAGCCUCUCUGACUAUCCUACUCAAAAACACAUUUGGAAAAAGAAUUCAGGAUGCUCAGGCCACGAGGCAGUUCUCUGGUAUAAAUUUGUAAAAAUAUAGAUAUAAAGCUCCUGUGAGAGAAAUUAUGA